UAUAUGCAUGCAUAACGCCCGGUAUGCGUUAAUCCGUGGGCACGUGCGUUCCACACAUACACAUGGAACUUGUAAUGUUUUAGUCGGCUUUUGUGUGUGAACGAAAAGUUACACAAGUAAGUGGAGAUAACCUUUGGGCAACUGAGGCACUAAUUCGAUGCACACAAUGCGCUUUUUGUCGUGUGGAUUUAUAUCACCAGUGGUAACAAUGACUUACCAAAAAUAAAGUUUGAGGAAUAUAACCGGGGGAAAAUUGUGGUUUAUGCAGCUGCUUUUGUUUUUCGCGAGUGAUAAAUGAAAACGGGAUUCGUGCAACUUAGCGAGGAUUGAGAUAGCGCCUACAAUAUGUGAGAGGUCUUUAAAAACUGUGACAAUGGUGAUUGGCACAAUGCGACUUAUCACGAUCUCCACUUCGCUUCGAGAUGUUGAAGGUCGAUGCGAGUAAUAAAUUUGCAACGCCCUACGGAUUCGUUUGUCGAGGGAAUUCGGGAGACCGCGGUCAGAACUAAGUACAGGGACGCCCUCGCAAGGUGGCGCAGCAGUUGGCCAUUCUCUCUACCACUCCCUUCGCACCAGUUUCGCACGAAUCAGCCGCCUCACACGACGACAAUAAUAUUAAUGCAUAAAAUAUUAACAAUUCCUAACCAAAUUUCUUCUUAUCGAGGCAUAAAAUUAAUUGUCUCCCCAAGUUUAUCCCAAGUGCCAGAGAGAACGCGCACAAAGGGACAAACCUUUUUCAUUGGUACUGCAGUAUAAAGAGUGCAGCGAGGCUGAACGUCCACAAAAAACUGGGCAAACAAAAAUGAAAGAAUAAAAAAAAUAUAUACCAUGAAAUGUUGACCGUGGUCCUUGAGCCGCGUUCGAGGUCGGACAAUGUCUACCGAAUGCACGAGAGACUCCUCACCAAGUGUCGGUCUCUGGCCCGCCCCCGACCUUCGUGCAGGUUUGGCUAAGGGAAUGGCCUCGGAUUUCCUGCGGGUUUUAUUUUCGGUUCUCCCAGGAUUAUUUCGCCUUCGUGCUGUGGUGUCUGCUCGGUCCCCCCCUUCGACCUUCAUCGAGGUUACCGCCAUUUAUGGGCGUGACGUGGAGUCGUUGUCCAUUGGGAUUUAUAGUGGUCGAUUUAAUGGUUUAUCGAAAAAUCAUCGCAUUCGGUGGAAUUCAACGAAGUUUUCGCCAUUUCUUUACAUUAAAUCUGACUACGUGCGAUUCCAGAACGUUAGAAAUUGAAAGCACGAUCGCUGAGCUUUUCGUUACCUCAGCAGAAAUUGAGAACUCGAUGGAAAGAGUGUUGGAAUUCUCGAGCUGAACAAACUGACCGAAACGAAGCGACGGCACGCACCGAUAUCACCACCCACUGAAUAUAUAUAUGUCCGAUUGAAUCCCGAAAUUGUUUGUCCAAUAAAUUUUUGUUAUUUCGCCUUGGCCCGCUGGGAGUAUUUGUGCGUCAUUGGGUUAUUUAUUUAUUUUUUUUUUAUUCCCCUUUGUAUUCUCCUUCCCUCCGUUCACUCUUUCGUCAAAUCAAACUACGUCCGGAGGUCGUUGAACCGUCGUAUGUGACAUGAGUUCUCUUUUCUCCGUCAAUGAAUAUCGCACGUUAAACCGAGAGAAGAUGAUGUACGUACAACUGAUUCCAACUCUCUCUCUGUCUCUUUACGAUUCCGAUCAAUUAAACCGAAACGACCAACUGCUGAAAAGAAGUCAA